rnacentral:ncRNA from 1 species
CCUGGCGUGUACCCGCCAGUUCACUAAGUCGGCAUGCAAUCGGGGCCAACCCGGCUGUGUGAAGCCCGACCAACAAUGCUCCUCUCCGUAAGGACUACCUAACCCGGUAACGGAUAAGGUAUCGCCGCCGAGUUGCACGGAGGCAGAGGA